GUGCUCACUUUGGCAGCACAUAUACUGAGCAAAGUGGAAUGACACAAAGAAAAUUCGCAUGGCCCCAGUACAAGCAUGACACGCAAAUUUGAGAAAAUAAUUCAAAAGUG
ensembl:snRNA U6 U6 spliceosomal RNA